rfam:Paxillus involutus ATCC 200175 unplaced genomic scaffold PAXINscaffold_11, whole genome shotgun sequence.
GGGCACUUGGCACAGUUGGUAGCGCGCACGCUUCGCAUCGAACUUUGCGUGAGGUCGUGGGUUCAACUCCCACAGUGUCCA